rnacentral:tRNA from 2 species
GGCUGGGUAGCUCAAUGGUGGAGCAACGGAUUCAUAUCCCGUAGGUUGUGAGUUCGAUCCUCACCCCAGCCA